GUGGGACACGGUGGUGGGUGGAGGUUGGGAGGGGAGGCAGCCAUUUACCGGCACAGUCAACAAACAAGGGCUGAGAACACAAAGACAGGCAUUGUGCUAAAUGCUGAGGAAGUAAAAAGGAAUUCUUAUUUAUAAUUUAUACCCCACCUACUUCCAAAGAGAAUUUUAAAGGUGACUCACAAUGAAAAACCACAUAUGAAGCAAGAUCACUGAGUUAAAAAUUGAAACAUCAAGCCAUGGGAAUGAAGAAAGGGAAGCCUGUGUUACCUAUCACUACUGUGCCAAAGUCCUUCCUUUUGUCCAGACAUUCCACUUUACAAAAGAGGGCGACGGGAACGAUGAGGUGUGGCUCGAGCUGAGGGAAAGUUUAUCUAUUCUCUCUGGGUAGAGGCAUGGGGAGAACUCCCAUUAUCCAAUUUGACAAACUCCUGACCUGCUUUAGCAGUUGAAAAUCAUCGUUCAUGGAUGCUUGGAUGACACAGACAUUCUUCCACCAGCUGUCUGUCACACCAGCUCUCAAGAAAAGUCUGCUAGAACAUCAUGCAUUUCUCUGCAGAAGGAAGGUAAAUAUUGGCAAGCCCGGUGGUGCCGUCGCUAGUGUUCUGAAACCUGAAUGUAGCCUGGACACCCUUUCAAAAGCAGAAUAGCCCAGUGGGCACUACAUCUUUCAGGCAGGUUUUGGACACAGAAGCAGAGCUACUGCUCAUCUCUCCCAUUAAAAGGGACAUUAAAAGGGAGAGGGCAGAGCCAAUCUCUGUUAUCACAGUUCUUGUGAAGAUUAGUCAUGCUCCAAAAUGUGAACUAGAAAUGUUGAGAGUUUGGGAAGGAAAUGACUCAACCAGUAUAAAAUGUUACAAAAUAAUCAGUCAGACCCUGGAGUCU
rnacentral:lncRNA from 1 species